ensembl:lncRNA
CUCCUCUUCUCGUCUUGCCGUGUUCCCUGUCGGAUCGGCUUGUUCCUGCUGCGCCCGACUGCACGCAAGGCUUCAGUAUUAGCCUAUAUACAGCCUCAUUAAAAUACUGACAGUUAGAGGAUUUGGGGAAAAAAGAAAUGCGAUGGAGAGGAAGGAAAACCAAAGGAACAGGUGAAGGGGACAGUAAGUUCUCUUCUUCAGGUAAAGCUUCUUGGACUUCUCUCUUUGAAAUGUACAUCUCUGAUUCACCAGUAAAUUCCUCAGAAUAGAAUAAAAUAAAAUAGUUCAGUUGAAAGGUACCUUUGAAGAUCGCCUACUCCUACUGUUGGACCUCUUCACGACUAACCAAAAGUUAAAGCAUGUUACUGAGGGCAUUAUUCAAAUGCCUCUUGAAUACUGACAGAAAUGAGGCAUCAAACAGCUCAUUAGAAAACCUGUUCCAGUGUUUGACCACCAUCAUGGUAAAGAAAUAUUUCCUGAUACUGUAAAGAAAAAAAUUGCAUUCUGAAGCUCCCCUGGCGCAGCUUUACAUCAUUCCCUCAUGUUCUGUCAUUGGUGACUGGGGCAGAGACUGACACCUCCCUCUGCACUUUCCCUCCUCAGGGAGUUGCAGAAAACCAGUUGGAAUCUUCUUCUUCAAACUGGACAACCCAAGUGCCAUAAACCUCUCCUCAGAGGACAUGCCCCCCAGUGCUUUUAUCAGCUUUGUUGCUCUCCUCUGAAUGUUUCAAGGGCCUUAACAUGCUUUUUAUAUUGUGGAAAUCACAACUGUACACAGUAUUCGAGGUGAGGCCACACCAACACUAAAUACAGCAGAAUUAUUUUUUUGAGCAACUGGCAAUGCUGUGCUUAAUGCAUCUGAAUGUCCAUUUUGUGAAGAGGCAGCUGAAAAAAAGGGUGACACUGACUCCAAAUAUAACCAUGACACUACUUUAGAACUGUUGGUAAAGGAAAAAAGUAGUUAUAGAUUAAGCCCAAUAUGAUAUUCUAAGCUAUUUUGCUUUAUUUCUGAUUUCCUAUAUUCUUAAUACAAGUAAUGUUCCUUGUUGCUUAAAGAGAGGUAAUUUCAAAGGAAGAGUCAAAAUCUUUAAUUCUCAGAUGUCUAAAUAAAUACUUGAACACAUACUAAGUACAUGUUACUGUAAAGAAAACAAACCAGAUCAUUUCCAAACGGAACAACUCUAAAUGUUUCAAAAUACACCAAGUUUUUCCUAUUUAUCCCAGCCAAAACAAUGUACUGGAUUGUAUCCAUUUUUCAGACUCUACAAUGGUUUUAAGCAUCCUGCAACUCAGUUUCCAGAUAUUUUGCUAUUUAUUGGAAGAAAAGAGAAUCUGAGAAAUGACACAAACUCAUCCAAAAAGAAAUAAAGAAAAUUAACCUUCUUCCAACUCUUUAACUAGGUUUUUAAUCUGAAGUAAGACAAAUUAAUCAGAAUCCUCAGACUGGCUAUCUCAACAGAGAUAAAUGGUACACUUUUGCUCUUCUUGUCUACUAUCAAAUCUUGUACUAGCAAGGGAGCUCUACACCAACCUCAUCAGAUCUGUCAGAUUUAUAAUGCCAUUGUUUGUCUUCAGAGCUCUCUCUACUCCUUCAGAAGUGAAGUUUUGAUUUUACUACAUAAUGACAGACGUACCAAAAUUAAAGGCUGUACAAAUUCAAAAUUUUUAAAGGAGAUUUUAUAAACCUCAAAAUGCACCUUCAUGUCUCAUUGUUAUACCAAAAACAAACAAACAAACAAACAAAAACAAAAAACAAAAAACAAAAAACAAAAAAACAAUCCAGAGCAAGCAGUUCCUGUCUAUUUCCAAAACAGAUUAUACCUUCAGUUUAGCAUGCCAUCCCUCUAAUUUCCUUCUAUUGCAAGUAUCCAAGUAUUGCAAGUAUAUCACAGUGUUUUCCAUAUUGUUGAAGUCUGAUUACAGCAGUGCUAGGGAUACAAGACAGGUAACAUUUAUUGCAUAUUUUAGUAUCUUUUAUUCAGACCAGCUGCAGGUAAAGUAAUCAAGUUCCUGGAGCACAAAGUCUGUUUUCAGUUUUUUAGGUGCUCUGGCUGGAAUAUCUUAGGUUACUUAGAAUCUUUAGUGAAAUCUCUGCAUCUUUCAUAUCAGACAGGGAUAUCUGUGCCUGACAUUGACUCUCAGAAUUUCGUAUGUUACUUAUGCUUUUGAAUCAAAUAGUUUUUCUAGAUAAGAAGAACAAACAGGUUACUACUUUCUCCUACUAAAUCCUAAAAAUGUACCAGCUCCUCUGUGUCUGUGUUACUGUCAUCCUUCUUUAGUUUUAGCUUUGAAAGGAAAGAGCCUUGGUUUUGUGUACUAUUAUAAAACAAUAUUUAUGAUGCAACAAACCUUAACAUCUUUGAUAAAGACUUCUAUGUUUUUAUUAGAAUUUCCCCAUGAACUUCCCAUUUUCUCCUUGGAUCCAUCCUCCUGAGACUUUUUGUUCUUUCAGACUAAAAUAAAGGUGCUAUAAAAAU